AACACCGUGUCACCAGCGAGAUGUUUUCAGGACAUCCGGCGCGCAGACAGAACCAAGCCCGACCCGCAGGAAGGUGUUAGUUCACCCAUCAGCUCCUGUCAGUCCGAGAAGGCGUGAACCCGCCUCCUGUCGGGGGACGCCACAAAUCGCAGAGACACUGAGAAGUUGUUGGGUUUUCCAUCCAGAGGCAGAGACCGCAUGCGGCKUUCUGCUUCCCAGGCAGACAGAGUGAAAACAUCGGGGCCACUGAACGCUCUCCACAUGUUUGACUAUUACGAUGACGUCAUCUACAGAUCAGCAUCCAAAGAUUUGCUCCAUAAACUUCAUAUUAUUUAGAUUAUCAUUAAAAUCUCUUUUGGUUUUUCUCUCUGUGUUUGACGCUCAAACUGCAAACCUGAUUCUGUUAACAUUUUCUAAAAUCUUCUUCUGCGUCCGGCUUGUUGUCCUUUCAGUUUACUGGAAGGAAAUACAGAAAAAUCCACAAACUGGACAUCUUCAGUAUUCUGUUCUUCUAAAUGCUGAAAUUCAUUUACUGUUUUCAUGUCUAAAUUGUGUCAUUUUGCCUUUUGCCAGGCUACAGAUGCGAUAAUAUAUUUGUUCUUAGCUUGUUAUUUUGUCCGAUUAAAUAAAGAUAGAAUUAAAAAAAUCUUUCUAACCAAUCAAAGCUCAUUUACUGAAUAAUUCUGCCUGAUAUAGAUGUAGAUUGUGAACAUCACAGGGUUCAGCGUCUUUCCCACCAACACUUUGACACGGAGAAGCUGGAAUUAAGCCGACAGCCUUCCAGUCAGGAUGCUGCUGCUCUCUCUGAAACAACCAUCAUGGCUUCCUCCCUGCUUCACGUCACAGAGAAACAGUUUACACACAUCCUAAUCACCGUCAUGGUGAUGAAUCACAAUGUUUAGAGUCAGGAUUUAGUCAGCAGACUUCCAGUAUUUUCUCAUUUUAGUGCAGCAAAACUGACGGGAUAUUUUUUCAUUUUCUUUUAAAACAGAAAUAACCUCAGUUUAGUUACUGAAAGAAGGUGAAAGAAGUUUUACUUAUUCUUCGCCUUGUAGAUGCAUUUGUGUCUCUUUAAUCAGAUAAUUAAUUUAUUCAUCUAUUCUUUCCCCCCCACACACGAUGAUCAGAGCAUCACUUGAGGGAAAACAGAAGAUUUCCACCUUUUUCCUGGUUGUGAUAAAACAUGUUUCACCGAAAAGUUGCUGCGUUUUUCUCUGGAUCAGGGUUGAUGUUUCCUCCGGGAGUCGCCGUUUUCUCCCUGAUUCACCUGAAACUCCCCCCCAGUCUGCGCAUCAGUCCAGAAAAGAGCAUCUCCUGAUGAAUGAGGGUCAUUAUGAGUUGGGGAGCAUGGGGAGCUAAUUACUGGUCUCAGAUCAGCGGCGUUCUGUCGGGAUGGACUUUGAUGAAUAUACACACAUAAUCUGAGCUUCAGGGAGGUUUUAAAGCUUUUGAGGAAAUCAUCUACUGGUUUAAUGAUCUCACAUUUCAAACUGUGUUAUUUUUAAAGGAAAAGGACAGGAGUAUGACAAACAACGUAAGCAGGUUUGCCUUUUUUAUCGCGGAAGCUGAUCAUGUUGGCAUGUUUUAAAACAAGCAAGUCUUUAACAAAUAACACAAUUUAUCCUUCUAGCAGCCACUAUUCUGCCUUUAUUUUCAUGAAAAAGUCAUUUCAGUUCUGGAGGAAGAAUCCUGGCCAAGCGAUCCUUUCCUCAAACAGAUUUUAUCCUUUGUCUAGAAGCACAAAGAACCAAGUUUUUCUGCAGAAAACUUACGGCUGGAGCCAAAAUAACGUUUGUGCAGAAAUCAAUUUUUAUAUAUCUAUAUAUGCUGCGAAAAUUAUGAACAUUUGUCUCCUCGGGGUGCCGAACAUGCUAUGAUCGAAUCUGUAAACUCUGACAGAAGCAGGCUCAGGGUGGGCGGCCGUCUGCCGCCGAACAAAAGAGAAACCGAGGAGCAAAACGSCGAACGGCGAGCUGCAGCAGACACGAUGUCGGACCAGAAACCAGCACCGGUUAAACAGACAAGCAGUUAGAAACGCAGGCCUGAACAAGUGGGAAAUGUUGAAAUCCUUUCUGCCAUGAAUUUAUCUGAAAACAAUAAAAGCUUUACUGUUUCUCAAAGAGAUGAUCCAGAAGUGUCCAAACUUUUUACAAUUUGGACCUUUUGUUGAAAUGGAAAGGCACAAAAAUUGGUAAGUAAAUUUGAUAUGUUUUUGGUUUCCCUGGACAUAUUUUAAUAAAACGGACAAAGUUGUAUGAUUGGUAAGGAGAUGGGAUUUCUAAAUCAUGUUUAUCCAAAAACGUUUCCUAAAUUUUUCAGGUAGAUUUUUUUUUUUACUAUUUUCAUACAUGAAAAAACAACAAAUCUUGUGUUUGAGGAACAAAACCUGAAUAUGUCAAGUCAAUCUUUUUCAAAACUGCUUGCCGUAUUUAGCCAAUUAAUGCCCAGGUCUGAAUUURAGUAAAAAUCCUUGAAAUUUAUGAUCUGAUUUCCAAUGAAAUCAAACUAAAAUGUGAAUAAUAAUACUUUGGUUUGUAUGCAGAGUUUCUUCUUAUGAAGAUUGUAAUUUGUCAGCUGGAGGACCAUCUUUGUAUAAAUCUUGAGUUGUUGUCGGGGGCCAUAAAUAGUCUUUCCAAGGGCCACUAACGGCCCCUGAGACGCAGUUUGAAGACCCCUGAGCUAAAGUGAAGUUCUUUUGUUACAACCGGUGCUCUUUUGUCUGCAGCUUUAUGCAUUACUCUCUUUAUUUUCUUCUUUUUACAGUUAAAAAACAGAGAAUAAGUUUUGUUUUAAACAGUUCAAAUCUAAUAAAUAACUAUAUUAAACUUCUAACCUGUAUUUCUUAUGAUGUUACAGAAUGGAGGCUGCCUCUGGCUUCAGGUCCUCUUUACACUGCAAAAGCACAAAAUCUCACCAGUUUUAAAAAUGGCUUCUCGCAGCAGAGGGAUGUAGGCGGAUGAAACAACACAGGAAGACGCAGCAAACAGCAGAGUGUGAAGAGCCUGCAAGA